UACGUAGGUGGCAAGCGUUGUCCGGAUUUAUUGGGUUUAAAGGGUGCGUAGGCGGCCUAUUAAGUCAGUGGUGAAAUAUCUCAGCUCAACUGAGAGUGUGCCAAUGAUACUGAUGGGCUUGAGUACAGAUGAGGUAGGCGGAAUUGACGGUGUAGCGGUGAAAUGCUUAGAUAUCGUCAAGAACACCUAUAGCGAAGGCAGCUUACUAGGCUGUAACUGACGCUGAGGCACGAAAGUGUGGGGAUACAAAGCAUG
rnacentral:rRNA from 1 species